UUUAUCAUUUCCUGAUGAUUUUCUUUGUGAAUGUUACCGUUUUUCAGCACAAUCCAUAAUUUAUUUGAAUAACAUCCUCAGGCCUUAUAUUGCUCAUGUGACACAUCGCGGACAUUCUCUCAGUUCUGUACAUAUUAUUUGUAUUGCACUUCGUUUUUUUGCACACGGGAGCUUUCUGUAUAAUAUUGGUGACGCUGAGCACGUUUCCAAGGCUACCGUCUGUCGGGCAGUCAGGAAUGUUACAGUUGCACUGAAACGUCUCCUGUACUCGUUUGUGGUGUUCCCCGGUCAUAGACCCACAAGAUUUAUCAAAGAGGGAUUCCACAAAAUUGCAGGGUUCCCAGGCGUGAUUGGCUGUAUAGAUGGCACUCACAUUCCAUUCUGCUGCUUGAAGUGUUCCAUUUCCAAAAAGCAUUUUUUUAUUUUCUUGAUCAAAUAGGUCUUGUACAGCUGCUUUACAGGGAGCUAUUGAAACACAGAAAAUAGCAUUGACAUUCAUAGUACAUGCCUACUUAGGUUGGUUGUGCAUCAGUGCUGAACAUCUUACUGAGGAAAGGUUUGUUGGAGAAGUGGCUGGACCCUCUUCCUCUACAUUUUUUAUAUUUCAUUUUUACUUGCUGCCAGGAACGUUUGGGGCCUGUUGGGUUGCACCUGCGCUCACAUCACAUCACAAAAUAAAAUGUAUAAAAUAAAAAAUAAAAUGAAAUAUAAUAAAAUAACGUGUUAAAUGGGUGGAAAUCCCUAGAUCAAUGUUUAAAUUAACACUCACGCAUUGACUCUGUCGGCUAUGUAUUGCCAUGCAUGCUCCCUUUCUUUUGCAGCUGAGGCUGUGUUACUUUUUUUCGCAAAAUUUGCAUGUUAUCGGCAUAUGCUGCCAUCAGAAUUUCGGCCUCAAGCUCUGUAAAAUACAUUGACCGCGCCUUCUUUCCCUCCGUCUCCAUGGUGACUCGCUUAAUCUGUGCUCCACUAAUCAGGGCUUUAUGCGCGCGCUUAACUUGGGGUUAAAGCAACUCCGCGUUGAUUGAACUAAUUGUUAUCAGCCUUUCUGAAACCGAAUAUUCCGA